UAUAAAGAUAACUUAUCUCUACUUCAUGUGAAUCCUUUGUUUGUAUUUUUGUGACAUUUAUAUGACUUGUAUUUGUAUAACAUGUAUUGUAUUAUUAUGACUUAUUCUACAUCCUACUGUCAUCUGACUAACUUAUGGAUCCAUGGAAUGUAAUAAAGAUGUAUGUAUGUAUAUAACGUCAGUCAGUGAACUUCCACCAGGCUACACGGCGAAACAACCCAGAAGACUGUCAUUUGCUAUAAAAACUACGAAAAAAUAGUUGGUGUUGAACAAUGGUAUCAGCCAUUAGCGAAUAUAAGAAAUUAAAGAGUAUGAAUUUGGUAACAGUCCAGUGGCAGAUUAUCCAUAUCACAUUUCAUUAAAAUCCCUUCACACAUUUUCUACUUAUUAAAUGCGUACAUGCAAAUUUUGGGAGUGGGUUGUGUUAAUUUGGGUCAAGUAAAGUUAAGUUAGGUUAGGUUUGUAAUGUGCAGAGGAUCGCGUCGUAAUGGCGUAAAAAUUGCCCCACUUGUAUUGUAUUCGUGUUUUCUGGAAUUACAUAAUGAAUUGUAUGAGUAAAUACGCCAUAUAUAAUUAUUUUGAAAUGAAAUUGUGUAAAGUAUGACAGAAUAACAGACAAAAUAUUAAAUGGCAUUUGCAAAGGAAUCUCUUGUGGUGAUGGAUACAUAUUCUCACUUGAAUCAUUUAUUGAAAAAUAGAUAGAAUUCUCUUCCAUUAAAAAAUCUAAAUAGGAGUCUCCUGAUAGUUGAAGCAAAGUCCUAAAAUGAAAUUGCCUAUUAUUCCUGCCAAAAUAUUACGAAACAGUGCAUGUUUAUGACUUUUCACUCACUACUCAAACAUUUGUGUGGUCUUCAAAGCUCAAAAGUAGACUUUCCCUUAAUGCUAAACAUUUACUUAUGUCAGUUUUUUUGACACUGAUGGAAAUAAGUACCAACACUUUCUCCCACAAGGGCAAUAACAGAUGUUCUGCAGUGACUAGACUUACCAGGUUCAAAACAGGAUGUUGGAGGUACUUGCAAUAAUGGCAGAUAUAUCCCAGUGGAAUCACUCUCCUGGAACAGAAUUGCAGAGACAGGUGAUGGCUAAUCAUGAAGAUCUUCUUUCACAAGCAACAUGGGUUGAAAAAUUUGAUGUACUACUUGCUGUUAUGCAGACAGAUGUCCAGGUAAUAAAUUAAUUUAGAAAACCUAUUCAAUGAGUGGUCCUACAUUCUCCAUCACAUCAGUUCUAUUACAGAAAUGUCAGUCCAUAUUGUGUAUUAUUAACAAAGCACAAGAGUAGAUGUGGACUCAGCAGUAAUUGCUUGUGGUUGUAGGAAGGAAAGAGGGUUCUACACCUGCUGUUGAUUUGUUCCUUACCUAAGAAUAUUAUGUAGUAUGCAAUAUUCACCAUUUAUUAAUAAAUUAAAAGUCAUUAUAAAUAAAUUAAUUACAGAUGGCAGUAUGUAUUAACUUAUGUACUAUAUCCUGCAUAAGCUACAGCAGAUGUAGUAAGUGUUUGCAUUUUCAUAAAUCUGCUAGUAACAAAAUCCUCCUUCACGUCUGUGAAAGAUCUCGUCUCAUUUUGUUCCUUGCCGAUAAUAGAUACUACAUAAUAUUAAUUUUUUGCAGCAUUUGCAUGGAACGUAUCAUAGUAAGAUUCCUGUAUGUGUACGUGUAUUAAACUAUAAUACAUGCAGUAAAUAGAAUGUAUUUUAA